rnacentral:rRNA from 1 species
GUGCCAGCAGCCGCGGUAAUACGUAGGUCCCGAGCGUUAUCCGGAUUUAUUGGGCGUAAAGCGAGCGCAGGCGGUUAGAUAAGUCUGAAGUUAAAGGCUGUGGCUUAACCAUAGUACGCUUUGGAAACUGUUUAACUUGAGUGCAGAAGGGGAGAGUGGAAUUCCAUGUGUAGCGGUGAAACGCGUAGAUAUAUGGAGGAACACCGGUGGCGAAAGCGGCUCUCUGGUCUGUAACUGACGCUGAGGCUCGAAAGCGUGGGGAGCAAACAGGAUUAGAUACCCUGGUAGUC